GACGAACGCUGGCGGCGUGCUUAACACAUGCAAGUCGAACGGAAAGACCCUGCGCUUGUGCGGUGCUCGAGUGGCGAACGGGUGAGUAACACGUGAGUAACCUGCCCUUGACUUUGGGAUAACUUCAGGAAACUGGGGCUAAUACCGGAUAGGAGCUCCUGCUGCAUGGUGGGGGUUGGAAAGUUUCGGCGGUUGGGGAUGGACUCGCGGCUUAUCAGCUUGUUGGUGGGGUAGUGGCUUACCAAGGCUUUGACGGGUAGCCGGCCUGAGAGGGUGACCGGCCACAUUGGGACUGAGAUACGGCCCAGACUCCUACGGGAGGCAGCAGUGGGGAAUAUUGCACAAUGAGCGGAAGCCUGAUGCAGCAACGCCGCGUGCGGGAUAACGGCCUUCGGGUUGUAAACCGCUUUCGCCUGUGACGAAGCGUGAGUGACGGUAAUGGGUAAAGAAGCACCGGCUAACUACGUG
rnacentral:rRNA from 1 species